rnacentral:rRNA from 1 species
GACAGAGGUGCCAAGCGUUAGGCGGAAUCACUGGGCUUAAAGCGUGUGUAGGCGGAUGCCUAAGUACCUUGUGAAAUCCCACGGCUCAACCGUGGAACUGCUGGGUAUACUGGGUGUCUUGGGUCAUCUAGGGGCUGCCGGAACAAAUGGUGGAGCGGUGAAAUGCGUAGAUAUCAUUUGGAACGCCAACGGCGAAAGCAGGCAGCUGGGGAUGCACCGACGCUGAGACACGAAAGCCAGGGGAGCGAACGGG